UAAUUGGUGGACUAGUCGCACAGUCAGUG
rnacentral:sRNA from 1 species